rnacentral:rRNA from 1 species
CUACGGGACGCUCCAGUGGGGAAUAUUGCACAAUGGGCGCAAGCCUGAUGCAGCCAUGCCGCGUGUAUGAAGAAGGCCUUCGGGUUGUAAAGUACUUUCAGCGGGGAGGAAGGGAGUAAAGUUAAUACCUUUGCUCAUUGACGUUACCCGCAGAAGAAGCACCGGCUAACUCCGUGCCAGCAGCCGCGGUAAUACGGAGGGUGCAAGCGUUAAUCGGAAUUACUGGGCGUAAAGCGCACGCAGGCGGUUUGUUAAGUCAGAUGUGAAAGCCCCGGGCUCAACCUGGGAACUGCAUCUGAUACUGGCAAGCUUGAGUCUCGUAGAGGGGGGUAGAAUUCCAGGUGUAGCGGUGAAAUGCGUAGAGAUCUGGAGGAAUACCGGUGGCGAAGGCGGCCCCCUGGACGAAGACAGACGCUCAGGUGCGAAAGCGUGGGGAGCAAACAGGAUUAGAUACCCCGGUAGUC